GGGGGGGGAGGAAGGCGGUGAGGGCGGCCCCCGCGGCCCCUCGCAGCCCCUCCGCCUCGGCAGCAUGGGAGCGGGCGGCCGCGCCGGCAGAGAUAAAAUUGCGAGUGUAGGAAUCCGAGAUAAAGCGAAGGCAGAUCUAACCCGAGUCAGUGUGGGCAGUGCGAGCGGAUGAUUUGCAAAGUGAAGAAGCUGUCCAGGCUGGGCAGCUUCUGGCUAUCUCAGUAUUGGUUUUGAAAAAAUUGUGGUCGAUUUUAAACCCAUGAGCCCUGAAGUUGUAAUG